UUCAAAAUUUUUCAUUUUCUAAGCUCUUCUCUCUUUAAGACUAUUUGCCCUAAACUCUUCUCUGUCUUCUCCCUAAAUUUCCAGCUCUCUGAACCAUUCAAUCUUGGAUUAGAAGGUGCUCAGACGUUCACCACACCGAAGGCUUCCUUUUGAAACGAUCGUAUUUUCGUUUGGACCGGGUUUGGAUUGAGUUCGCGUGUGAGAUACCAAAAGGGACGUCCUUGUAAGCUUGGUAAUACAACUCUGAGAUGUUGUCGAAGAGGUUCCCUUGGAGCAAGAGUUGGAAAAUGCUGAUGCUGCAGUAUAGUCUUUUUAGGAUUUCUAAAUUUAAGUUGGUGUUAUUUUGAAAUACUCUAAACUGUUAAAGUUUUAAAUUUCAUUUUUUAUGUGGAUGACUAUAAUGUCAAUUAAGGAACUACUAUUGUACU